rnacentral:rRNA from 1 species
UACAGAGGUCCCAAGCGUUGUUCGGAUUCACUGGGCGUAAAGGGUGCGCAGGUGGGUUUGCAAGUUCGAUGUGAAAGCCCCGGGCUUAACCCGGGAAUGGCAUUGGAUACUGCAGAUCCGGAGGAUCGGAGGGGGGACUGGAAUUCUUGGUGUAGCAGUGAAAUGCGUAGAUAUCAAGAGGAACACCAGUGGCGAAGGCGAGUCCCUGGACGAUACCUGACACUGAGGCACGAAAGCUAGGGGAGCAAACGGG